UUUAGUUUACGACGAUCUUACGACGAAAAACCAAGCGUCGAAAACGGAGCGUCAGAAAUGAACAACAUCGACGUUUUGUUCAAAAUCGUCGUAACUUUUAUGAUGAUUCCUGGAUCGUCGUAACCUUUACGACGAUCCUAAAUUGUCGUUGGCAAUCUAAACCAGUCCUACGUGACAAAAUUAUGAUGAAAUCAAAACAUCAAGGUUGAAAUCAGCCCAACCCACUUCAAUUGAUCACAUGGGCUGAUUUUAUUUUCUUGAGCUUUUUCUUAUUGG
rnacentral:lncRNA from 1 species